UUCCAGAAGAGUGCAGUUGGAUAUUUUCUCUCGAAAGUAUCUGCGAUAUUUGUCCUUUACAGACUUAAGUAGUUCUUUGGAAGAUUCAUCACCAUUUUUCAGAGGUUACAUUGAGUCAUUUAGCGACAAAUAAAACACCAGUCUUUUUUAAGACUAGACCCCUUUUCAGGGCUGACCAACAGUCUUUUUCAAGACUACACCCCUUUUCAGGGCUGACCAACAGUCUUUUUCAAGACUACACAAGUGUCAUUUAACAUGUACCGUAGAAACAACCAGAGAAUUGGAGCUGGCGCUUCACUUCUCGGGACUCCUCCCACCGGAUACAAUGUGAACAUGGCCCUUUCUCGUGCACAGAACGAAGUGCACUACCUGAAAAGGCAAGUGAGCGAACUCACCGCUCACACUGAAACUCUGAAGUUCAAAUCGACCAACAUGUUAAAAGGAAAAGAUCUUGCCUAUGAGCAGAUGGUUGACAAGAACAGAAAGAGGUUUUCAGACCUUAUCAGGGAGAACAAUGUUUUAUCUCUGAAGGUCAGAGAGACCGAAAAACUCGUUGUCAAAAAUGCUGAACUCAUGGUCAAGAACGAGACCUGGCAGCAGAAAUAUGAAGAUCUGGAGAAAAGGACAACCAAGGAACUGGAUGACCAACAACAGUCCUUGGAGUCUCAAGUAACAGGGUUACUCUCCACCAACAUUUCUCUUCAAGAGAAGCUGCACAAGCAGGAGGCCAACAACCAACAGUUGGAAGCAGAACACAAACUGCUAAAGAUCAAGACAGAGGCUCUGGAUGAGACUAUCAGGGAGAACGAGGGUUUAUCUCUGAAGCUCACCGAGACCACAAAACAACUUUCUGUCAAAAGUGCUGAACUCACGGGCAACAACGAGACCUGGCAGCAGAAAUAUGAAGAUCUGGAGAAAAGGACAACCAAGGAACUGGAUGACCAACAACAGUCCUUGGAGUCUCAAGUAACAGGGUUACUCUCCACCAACAUUUCUCUUCAAGAGAAGCUGCACAAGCAGGAGGCCAACAACCAACAGCUGGAAGCAGAACACAAACUGCUAAAGAUCAAGACAGAGGCUCUGGAUGAGACUAUCAGGGAGAACGAGGGUUUAUCUCUGAAGCUCACCGAGACCACAAAACAACUUUCUGUCAAAAGUGCUGAACUCAUGGUCAACAACGAGACCUGGCAGCAGAAAUAUGAAGAUCUGGAGAAAAGGACAACCAAGGAACUGGAUGACCAACAACAGUCCUUGGAGUCUCAAGUAACAGGGUUACGCUCCACCAACAUUUCUCUUCAAGAGAAGCUGCACAAGCAGGAGGCCAACAACCAACAGUUGGAAGCAGAACACAAACUGCUAAAGAUCAAGACAGAAGCUCUGGAUGAGACCAUCAGGGAGAACGAGGGUUUAUCUCUGAAGCUCACCGAGACCACAAAACAACUUUCUGUCAAAAGUGCUGAACUCACGGUCAACAAUGAGACCUGGCAGCAGUUGGAAGCAGAACACAAACUGCUGAAGACCCAGAGGGAUUCUCUGGCUGCUUUAAAAAAGAGCCAAGAGGAGACCCACCACGAGAUGGUCACAAGCAGUGGUUUCACUGAGUUGUGCCUGAUCUCUACAAUCCAACAAAUGGAGAAUACCAUCUCCAAAGAACAUCAGAUCCUUAUCACCAGGAUCCAAGAAUUAGAGGACGACAAAACAGUCCUUGAAAACAUCUGCCUCGACUUAAAAAAAAAGAAAAGAGGCAUCUUUGGGAGACGUAUGCAAGACCGGCAGACGGAGAUGGACAAAAUGAGGCGCAAGAUGCAGGACAAGGAGACAAAGAAAUAGGAGAGAGAAGAGAAGAAAAAGGAGACCAUCCAGGACGACAUCAACGUGCCUGAGACUGGACACCGUGAGGAUGUUUGUCCCGGCGGGGGCCUCCAUCCAUGAAUUGGUUAUCUGUGUUCAGCAGGGGACGGACGUCGGUCCUGAUCAGGCUGGUUAUCAUGGUCGCCUGACAGUUUGGGAGGAAGACCUCCGACUGCUGUCUGCCCGAAGCUGAUUGACAGCUGCCUCAGAGGAGGUUGUGACACAUGUGUGACAGGAAGAGCGUGUGACGUACAGAAAGCACAUUUGGACCCUCCACAUACUAUUUUACGGCAUGUAGUCCCCGAACAAAGUACAUCUAAAUACUACAGCAUUCAUUUAUUUCAUGCAACAGUUUGGAGAAGACCCUCUGCCCUCUUUCAACAUUAAAUUCAGGGCAACACAGACAUUUUGGAAUUACGUGUUGAACAACUAGAUUGGCCUGCAUGCACAAACCUCCACCAAUACUGAGAGCCCCUUUCACCCGACAGUCAAUCAGUGACCCGUCUCGCUAACGUGGCGUUCUGACGUGGCUCUUGUGGCUGAAUGGGUACAAAUCUCUGCAGCCAGAUUCCCAGGAGAGUGGAGGCCUUAAAUGUUUACGUGUUGACGUACUUCGGGCAUAUAGUUUAGCAUAAGACGGAUCUUAUGCGAUGUGUUAUUAGUUCAGUGGGAAAAUAAACGACGAAAGAGCAAAAUGCAAAUCAGAUGAGACUUGGUGGAUAUUAAUGAUACAUUCUAUUUCAUGCAUAUAAAUCAAAUCAUAACAGGAGUUAUCUCAAGACCGUUCAGGUCCAGACAACUUGCUGUAGUUGAGGGGAUUAAUACCGCUGCCAUACGUCGAAACUUUUGUCUGGCAAGAAGAAAAGAUUUAUAAAUAUCCAUCUUUAUCUAGUAUCCAUCAUCUGUCUAUUUAAUCUGUCCAUCUCUUUAUCUGUCUCUCUAUAUAAAUAUAUCUAUCUGUCAUCAUCAAAGUCUGCAGGCCUGAAUCUCCUCAUCCGUCUUCUCUC
ensembl:lncRNA